GAUGAACGCUAGCGGCAGGCUUAACACACCAUUAAGAGGGGUAUAGUUCUUCGGAGCUAGAGACCGGCGCACCUUUGAGUAACGCGUAUGCAAUCUACCUUUUACAGAGGGAUAGCCCAGAGAAAUUUGGAUUAAUACCUCAUAGCAUUAUGAUAUGGCAUCGUAUUAUAAUUAAAGUUCCAACGGUAAAAGAUGAGCAUGCGUCCCAUUAGCUAGUUGGUGUGGUAACGGCACACCAAGGCUACGAUGGGUAGGGGUCCUGAGAGGGAGAUCCCCCACACUGGUACUGAGACACGGACCAGACUCCUACGGGAGGCAGCAGUGAGGAAUAUUGGACAAUGGGCGCAAGCCUGAUCCAGCCAUGCCGCGUGCAGGAUGAAGCAUCUAUGGUGUGUAAACUGCUUUUGUACAGGAAGAAACCCUCCCACGUGUGGGAGAUUGACGGUACUGUAAGAAUAAGGAUCGGCUAACUCCGUGCCAGCAGCCGCGGUAAUACGGAGGAUCCAAGCGUUAUCCGGAAUCAUUGGGUUUAAAGGGUCCGUAGGCGGCCUUAUAAGUCAGUGGUGAAAUCUCUCGGCUCAACCGGGAAAUGGCCAUUGAUACUGUAGGGCUUGAAUUAUUAGGAAGUAACUAGAAUAUGUAGUGUAGCGGUGAAAUGCUUAGAGAUUACAUGGAAUACCAAUUGCGAAGGCAGGUUACUACUAAUGGAUUGACGCUGAUGGACGAAAGCGUGGGUAGCGAACAGGAUUAGAUACCCUGGUAGUCCACGCCGUANACGAUGGAUACUAGCUGUUGGGCGCAAGUUCAGUGGCUAAGCGAAAGUGAUAAGUAUCCCACCUGGGGAGUACGUUCGCAAGAAAUGAACUCAAAGGAAUUGACGGGGGCCCGCACAAGCGGUGGAGCAUGUGGUUUA
rnacentral:rRNA from 1 species